AGCAGCCGCGGUAAUUCCAGCUCCAAUAGCGUAUAUUAAAGUUGUUGCAGUUAAAAAGCUCGUAGUUGAAUUUCGGGAUCAGAUUGUCGGUCGUGCCUCGGUACGCACUGGCAUUAUUGGUUCCUACCUUCUGAAGAACCGCGAUGUCAUUAAUUUGGUGUCGUGGGGAAUCAGGACUGUUACUUUGAAAAAUUAGAGUGUUUAAAGCAGGCGCACGCUUGAAUACAUUAGCAUGGAAUAAUGAAAUAGGACGUUUGAUUCUAUUUUGUUGGUUUCUAGGAUCGACGUAAUGAUUAAUAGGGAUAGUUGGGGGCAUUAGUAUUCAAUUGUCAGAGGUGAAAAUUCUUGGAUUUAUUGAAGACUAACUACUGCGAAAAGCAUUUGCCAAGGAUGUUUUCAUUAAUCAAGAACGAAAGUUAGGGGAUCGAAGACGAUCAGAUACCGUCGUAGUCUUAACCAUAAAACUAUGCCGACUAGGGAUCGGAUGAUGUUAAUUUUUUAAUGACAUCAUUCGGCGCCU
rnacentral:rRNA from 1 species